CUCCUGUGUGAGUGCGGAGGGGCACUAUGUCCCCCCAUUUUAGUUAUUUGGUUUCCCCACCAUGUGCCAGGUCUCCCCUUAUUGCACUAGUGACUGGGCAGUAAUAGCUGCCCAUUCACAAGUAGUUUUAAAUGACAGCGAGCACUGUUCAGGUGACAUUCCCCUUGUGGUAGAACUUACCAUCUAUUUGUAUGUUUUUAUCUUAGUUUGUGUGUUUUUCCUUUUUUCUGUUCGGGAGUACUUAAUACGAACAAAAUCCAUUUGUCUCCAGAACGAGGACCACCCCUGUACCCCAUUAGAACGUUCACACCAGUAGCUUAAG